AUUGAACGCUGGCGGCAGGCCUAACACAUGCAAGUCGAACGAAUGGCGGACGGGUGAGUAAUGUCUGAGAAACUGCCCGAUGGAGGGGGCUAAAUACUGGCAACGGUAGCUAAUACCGCAUACCAUCGGAUGUGCCCAGAUGGGAUUAGCGAGUAGGUGGGGUAAUGGCUCACCUAGGCGACGAUCCCUAGCUGGUCUGAGAGGAUGACCAGCCACACUGGAACUGAGACACGGCCCAGACUCGUACGGGAGGCAGCAGUGGGGAAUAUUGCACAAUGGGCGCAAGCCUGAUGCAGCCAUGCCGCGUGUAUGAAGAAGGCCUUCGGGUUGUAAAGUACUGUCAGCGAGGAGGCGUUACUCGCAGAAGAAGCAACGGCUAACUCCGUGCCAGCAGCCGCGGUAAUUC
rnacentral:rRNA from 1 species